rnacentral:rRNA from 1 species
GACGAACGCUGGCGGCGUGCUUAACACAUGCAAGUCGAACGAAGAGCGAUGGAAGCUUGCUUCUAUCAAUCUUAGUGGCGAACGGGUGAGUAACGCGUAAUCAACCUGCCCUUCAGAGGGGGACAACAGUUGGAAAAGACUGCUAAUACCGCAUACGAUCUAAUCUCGGCAUCGAGGAUAGAUGAAAGGUGGCCUCUACAUGUAAGCUAUCACUGAAGGAGGGGAGUGCGUCUGGUUAGCUAGUUGGAGGGGUAACGGCCCCCCAAGGCGAGGAUCAGUAGCCGGUCUGGGAGGAUGGACGGCCACAUUGGGACUGAGACACGGCCCAGACUCCUACGGGAGGCAGCAGUGGGGAAUCUUCCGCAAUGGACGAAAGUCUGACGGAGCACCGCCGCGUGAGUGAUGACGGCCUUCGGGUUGUAAGGCUCUGUUAAUCGGGACGAAAGGCCUUCUUGCGAAUAGGGAGAAGGAUUGACGGUACCGGAAGAGAAAGCCACGGCUAACUACGUG